UACGUAGGGUGCAAGCGUUGUCCGGAAUUAUUGGGCGUAAAGAGCUCGUAGGCGGCUUGUCGCGUCGAAUGUGAAAACCUGCAGCUCAACUGCAGGCUUGCAUUCGAUACGGGCAGGCUCGAGUUCGGUAGGGGAGACUGGAAUUCCUGGUGUAGCGGUGAAAUGCGCAGAUAUCAGGAGGAACACCGGUGGCGAAGGCGGGUCUCUGGGCCGAUACUGACGUGAGGAGCGAAAAGCAUGGGUAGCGAACAGG
rnacentral:rRNA from 1 species